GAUGAACGCUGGCGGCGUGCCUAAUACAUGCAAGUCGAGCGAACAGACGAGGAGCUUGCUCCUCUGACGUUAGCGGCGGACGGGUGAGUAACACGUGGAUAACCUACCUAUAAGACUGGGAUAACUUCGGGAAACCGGAGCUAAUACCGGAUAAUAUAUUGAACCGCAUGGUUCAAUAGUGAAAGACGGUUUUGCUGUCACUGAUAGAUGGAUCCGCGCCGCAUUAGCUAGUUGGUAAGGUAACGGCUUACCAAGGCAACGAUGCGUAGCCGACCUGAGAGGGUGAUCGGCCACACUGGAACUGAGACACGGUCCAGACUCCUACGAGAGGCAGCAGUAGGGAAUCUUCCGCAAUGGGCGAAAGCCUGACGGAGCAACGCCGCGUGAGUGAUGAAGGUCUUCGGAUCGUAAAACUCUGUUAUUAGGGAAGAACAAAUGUGUAAGUAACUAUGCACGUCUUGACGGUACCUAAUCAGAAAGCCACGGCUAACUACGUG
rnacentral:rRNA from 1 species